UAAUUCUCACAUGGAAUUUCCAAAGGGAGGGGUAAAUUUGAUGGGAUGAAAUUCCAUGGGAGGACAUAUGUUAGAGGGAAAUUUCCGGGAGUAGAUGUCCCAUGAUGGAAAUUCCAUGGGGAGGGGUAAUUUACACAUGGAAAUUCCAUGGACAGGGCCAAAUUUAAAUGGAAAUUCCAUGGGGAAGGCCUAAUUUAGAAUGGAAAUUCCAUGGGGAAGGGUAAUUUUUACAAGGAAUUUCCAUGGGAAGGGGUAAAUUUUACAUGAAAAUUUGCGGAAUUCCAGGGGAGUACCGACAUAAGAAAGGGGUUCCUCAACAGGGGGGG